AGUAAAAGUCGUAACAAGGUCUCCGUUGGUGAACCAGCGGAGGGAUCAUUACCGAGUUUACAACUCCCAAACCCCUGUGAACAUACCAAUUGUUGCCUCGGCGGAUCAGCCCGCUCCCGGUAAAACGGGACGGCCCGCCAGAGGACCCCUAAACUCUGUUUCUAUAUGUAACUUCUGAGUAAAACCAUAAAUAAAUCAAAACUUUCAACAACGGAUCUCUUGGUUCUGGCAUCGAUGAAGAACGCAGCAAAAUGCGAUAAGUAAUGUGAAUUGCAGAAUUCAGUGAAUCAUCGAAUCUUUGAACGCACAUUGCGCCCGCCAGUAUUCUGGCGGGCAUGCCUGUUCGAGCGUCAUUUCAACCCUCAAGCCCCCGGGUUUGGUGUUGGGGAUCGGCGAGCCUCACGGCAAGCCGGCCCCGAAAUACAGUGGCGGUCUCGCUGCAGCUUCCAUUGCGUAGUAGUAAAACCCUCGCAACUGGUACGCGGCGCGGCCAAGCCGUUAAACCCCCAACUUCUGAAUGUUGACCUCGGAUCAGGUAGGAAUACCCGCUGAACUUAAGCAUAUCAAUAAGCGGAGGAAAAGAAACCAACAGGGAUUGCCCCAGUAACG
rnacentral:rRNA from 1 species